AUCUUGUACCUUCGUAGUUCUCAGGGACGCUCAAGAAGAUAGUUUCAGUUCAACUGACUCAGGUAAGGGUCGCACCAAAGAUGACCAGGUCAAUAGGACCUGGAAGUGGACCUUCGUGUGGAGUUAUCCGUUAAUGGCAGAGCCGCAGAUUGCAUGUUCCGAACCCAUAAUCCUCUCUACUUGGAAACAUGUAGUAUGACGUGAGCUAUAAGAACGAACGAUUUCGAGUGUUUUGUUGCUAAAUCUAUCAGAGAACGCCUAGGGCCAUAAACUAUAAAUAAACAAGACAAGCGACGGAGGCGCUGGGUCGGUGGAAGGGGCAAGUUCUGGGCGGCGAGCCCAUUUUCUUUAUCUGCAGCGGCACAGAAACGCUCGGGAAUUAUCAAUUAAAUGUGGCAGCCAGAGCCAGGCGCGGAGUGCAAUGUCAAUACACGUAAUCGCUCGGAAAUAAAAGUAAAUACGAGGCGACGGGAAAGGAGAAGCCAUCGCGGAUGAGGAAAGCACUCCAGGAACUCUGAGAGCUGGGUGCGGACUAAUUGCCGCACAACACACUUAAUUGACCUCUGGCCCGGUAGAUGGCGCUGCAGCCGGAGCUGGCCGAGGAAUACAGUAAGGGUCCACUGGCACCGAGGAGCACUGGAGCACUGCGCAUAGUAGAGUGUCAUAAAGAAAUUGCUAACGUCGGCUGCGGCAUCUGGCAACUGGGGCAAUGUCGUGACAGAUAAGAAACCGCAAGCCACAACUGAAGUGUCGUCUCUGCUCGUCC